AUACUUAUCUGGACGAGGUCAUUGAGCGAUCAACAAGGCUCGUGGCCUGGGUUGGUGACCUCCAUUGCACUUUGGAGGGGUGCCUGCCUAAGGUUGGCCCAAGUGGUCGAGCCUACAUCAUAGUUUGAGGCAGUAGAGGCCUGCGUUCGCGUGGCCCCUAC
rnacentral:snRNA from 1 species